rnacentral:rRNA from 1 species
CUGAGGAAUAGCCCAGAGAAAUUUGGAUUAAUACCUCAUAAUAAUAUUUUUUGGCAUCAUUAAAUAUUUAAAACUUCGGUGGUUAUAGAUGAGCAUGCGUUCUAUUAGUUUGUUGGUGAGGUAAAAGCUCACCAAGACUACGAUAGAUAGGGGGCCUGAAAGGGUGAUCCCCCACACUGGUACUGAGACACGGACCAGACUCCUACGGGAGGCAGCAGUGAGGAAUAUUGCACAAUGGAGGAAACUCUGAUGCAGCCAUGCCGCGUGCAGGAUGACGGCCCUACGGGUUGUAAACUGCUUUUUUACAAGAAGAAACCUUGGUACGUGUACCAAAUUGACGGUAUUGUAAGAAUAAGCACCGG